GUGUCUCGUGCUACAGAGGAAAUAGACGACCUGAAGGAGCAGCUUGCGGCCAUGCAGUCCCUGACUGACAAGUUCCAGAGCCUUUGAAGUGGAGCCCAGCAUCUCCAUGCAAGAGGAGCAGCUGGUGCCUUUGGAGCCAGGGAGCGGUGGCCAAGCCGGUUCCCUCCUGUUGGACCUCAGCCGAGGUUUCCUCUCCCUGUUCUUUUGCCCCCUCC